rnacentral:ncRNA from 1 species
ACAAGGAUAAAAGCACGUCCCGGCCGGUAGUCCGGGAGUCCCGAUCACGGGAUCAGUAACCUGCCUCCUUUGGUUGUCCGUUCCUUGC